rnacentral:tRNA from 1 species
AAAGAAUUAGUUUAAUUAAUUAUAAUAAAACAUUAAAUUGUCAAUUUAAAAAUAUUUUUAAAAAUAAUAAAUAUUCUUUU